GACAGAGGGUGCAAGCGUUGUUCGGAAUUACUGGGCAUAAAGCGCACGUAGGCGGUUCGCUAAGUCUGUCGUGAAAUCCCCCGGCUCAACCGGGGAAUAGCGUCGGAUACUGGCGAGCUCGAGGUCGAUAGGGGUAAGUGGAACUCCAGGUGGAGCGGUGAAAUGCGUAGAUAUCAGGAGGAACACCUGCGGUGUAGACGGCUUACUGGACCAUAACUGACGCUGAGGCACGAAAGCGUGGGUAGCAAACAGG
rnacentral:rRNA from 1 species